rnacentral:hammerhead_ribozyme from 1 species
GUACUGCUGAGGAGUCCCAUACUAGGACGAAACGGCCGUCCAGUUC